UCCCAGACUCCUACGGGAGGCAGCAGUGAGGAAUAUUGGUCAAUGGGCUUACGCCUGAACCAGCCAAGUCGCGUGAGGGAAGACUGCCCUAUGGGUUGUAAACCUCUUUUGUCAGGGAGCAACGCCGGCUACGUGUAGCCGGACUGAGAGUACCUGAAGAAAAAGCAUCGGCUAACUCCGUGCCAGCAGCCGCGGUAAUACGGAGGAUGCGAGCGUUAUCCGGAUUUAUUGGGUUUAAAGGGUGCGCAGGCGGAUUUUUAAGUCGGCGGUAAAAUCGUGGGGCUCAACCCCAUCCAGCCGUUGAAACUGGGGAUCUAGAGUGUGCGAGAGGUAUGCGGAAUGCGUGGUGUAGCGGUGAAAUGCAUAGAUAUCACGCAGAACUCCGAUUGCGAAGGCAGCGUACCGGCGCCCAACUGACGCUCAUGCACGAAAGCGUGGGUAUCGAACAGGAUUAGAUACCCGCGUA
rnacentral:rRNA from 1 species